rnacentral:tRNA from 1 species
GCCCUUGUGGCACAAUGGUUAAGAGCUCAGCUGCUAACUGAAAGGUUGGUGGUUCACAUCCACCCAGCAGUU